rnacentral:rRNA from 1 species
CAGCAGCCACGGUAAUACGGAGGGUGCAAGCGUUAAUCGGAAUUACUGGGCGUAAAGCGUGCGUAGGCGGUUCGUUAAGUCUGUUGUGAAAGCCCCGGGCUCAACCUGGGAAUGGCAAUGGAUACUGGCGAGCUAGAGUGUGUCAGAGGAUGGUGGAAUUCCCGGUGUAGCGGUGAAAUGCGUAGAGAUCGGGAGGAACAUCAGUGGCGAAGGCGGCCAUCUGGGACAACACUGACGCUGAGGCACGAAAGCGUGGGGAGCAAACAGGAUUAGAUACCCCGGUAGUCCCUGUCUCUUAUAC